rnacentral:rRNA from 1 species
UAGGGAAUCUUCGGCAAUGGACGAAAGUCUGACCGAGCAACGCCGCGUGAGUGAAGAAGGUUCUCGGAUCGUAAAACUCUGUUGGUAGAGAAGAACGUUGGUGAGAGUGGAAAGCUCAUCAAGUGACGGUAACUACCCAGAAAGGGACGGCUAACUACGUGCCAGCAGCCGCGGGUAAUACGUAGGUCCCCGAGCGUUGUCCGGAUUUAUUGGGCGUAAAGCGAGCGCAGGUGGUUUAUUAAAGUCCUGG